GACGAAGGGGGCUAGCGUUGUUCGGAAUUACUGGGCGUAAAGCGCGUGUAGGCGGUUGCCAUAGUCAGGUGUGAAAGCCUUGAGCUUCACUCAAGAAAUGCACUUGAUACUGGGCGACUAGAGGACCGGAGAGGAUAGUGGAAUUCCCAGUGUAGUGGUGAAAUACGUAGAGAUUGGGAAGAACACCAGUGGCGAAGGCGGCUAUCUGGACGGUUUCUGACGCUAAGACGCGAAAGCGUGGGGAGCAAACAGG
rnacentral:rRNA from 1 species